UACGGGGGGAGCAAGCGUUGUUCGGAUUUACUGGGCGUAAAGGGCGCGUAGGCGGCUGUGACAAGUCACUUGUGAAAUCUCCGGGCUUAACUCGGAACGGUCAAGUGAUACUGUCGUGCUAGAGUACAGAAGGGGCAACUGGAAUUCUCGGUGUAGCGGUGAAAUGCGUAGAUAUCGAGAGGAACACCUGCGGCGAAGGCGGGUUGCUGGGCUGAUACUGACGCUGAGGCGCGAAAGCAUGGGGAGCGAACAGG
rnacentral:rRNA from 1 species